AGCGAACGCUGGCGGCAGGCUUAACACAUGCAAGUCGAACGGGCAUAGCAAUAUGUCAGUGGCAGACGGGUGAGUAACGCGUGGGAACGUACCUUUUGGUUCGGAACAACACAGGGAAACUUGUGCUAAUACCGGAUAAGCCCUUACGGGGAAAGAUUUAUCGCCGAAAGAUCGGCCCGCGUCUGAUUAGCUAGUUGGUAGGGUAAUGGCCUACCAAGGCGACGAUCAGUAGCUGGUCUGAGAGGAUGAUCAGCCACAUUGGGACUGAGACACGGCCCAAACUCCUACGGGAGGCAGCAGUGGGGAAUAUUGGAUAAUGGGCGAAAGCCUGAUCCAGCCAUGCCGCGUGAGUGAUGAAGGCCCUAGGGUUGUAAAGCUCUUUUGUGCGGGAAGAUAAUGACGGUACCGCAAGAAUAAGCCCCGGCUAACUUCGUG
rnacentral:rRNA from 1 species